AAAAAAAGCACAUUUUGAGAUUGGAUAAUCAUGUAAGUCUUCUUAGAGAAGUGCUAUGUAAGAUGAUGAUAAUUUGAUGAAAAAGAACAGUCAUUUAGGUGAAAAUGUUACUGGGAAGUGUGGGCGUUCCUUGUUUUUUGUCUUCUUGAAGGAAAUAAUUCUGUUAAUAGACCAAUCAGUAAAGCAAAAAAAAAAAAAAAAGAAAAUAAUACAAGGUUUAUUAAGGACAUAAGAGUUUCCCAGAGAAGAGUAGGCUGACACAGCUGGGAACAGCUCCAAGUGCUCUCUGUUGCAGUUUGUAUUACACUGGAUAUUUUUUUUUUAAGUUCCCACUUCUGUCUCAAGUUUCUGCCUUUGUUUUUGUCUAGUUUCCUGCUUCUGUCUUAAGUCUCUGCAUUCGUUCCCACGUACUUCCCAUCCAGGUUUGUGGGAUUCUCCCUACUGUCUGUUGAUGCGCAUGCCUGGGUCUGGUGAUCAAUACAAAUCCUACCUCUUGGCAGCAUUGUUUAUUACUGCCACUCCAGAAAGAUAGUAUAGUGGUCAAAUCUGUACUUAUUGCACCUGUAUAUCUCUUAGAAAUUUAUCAUUUGCCCUUUUCUCCUCUUACCAGCAUGUAGCUAGCUAUGUUCUGACAGCUUAACCGUAGAAUGAGUGAUUGACGGGCAUCUUAAGAGGCAUUUCAUGGUGUUAUUUCCUGUGUAGGUAUUUGCCCCCUCCUCCACUCAUAUUUAACAUGCAUGUGUUGGAUGUUCUCUGAGGCAAGAGAUAUUCAAGAGCUUCUUCCCCCAGGAGUCUCCCCUCCUGCUAAUGUCUAACUAUCUGCCUACUCUAACAUUCCCCCCUCAAGAGAUUGAGACUCUUAAAAUCAUCAGGUUUAGGGGAUCCUUGGGCUUCUGUAACUGCUUCCUGCUGUUAUGGGAUGAAUAAUUCAGGGUCUCAUUCUCUUGCUCUCUGUUAGGGAUGCAACCCCUUCACUACUUUCUGGAACCUUUGCCUCCUGGCAUUUAGAGGCAAGGUGUGUGUGUAUAGAUGAUGGGGUCUCCAGGGGUGAUUGGUUCAUAGCUGUAUAUUAUAGAAGCUUGGUCUGAAAUUGUUGUAUGCCUGAGGAGACAAAUUUAACAAGUAAGUUUAAAAAGCUGGUGUUGAAAAAAGAGGGGUAGAAGUAUGGAGGUGGCUGGUCCCAGUAAGAGGAGAAACCAUGUGAGUUGGGAAAACAGAUUUUACAGAGUUCCAGAUGGAAUUUGCUGAGAGACUUUCUUUUCAAAGUUUAUGAAGCUACUUAGCAUGGUUGUAGAUUUUCGUUAUAGUUUCCUUUAUUUGCCUACUAUUGUUGACAUAAGUAUACUAGAAUUUAUUAAUUACAGGGUAGAUUCUGCCUUGUUUUGUAAGGAGGUGAUCUAAAGCUAGUCUGUUGUCUAUGAUUUCAUUAGCAAGAGAAGUUAGCGAGGUGUUGAAAUUAGAGAUUGUGUCACUGGUUGUUUGAGGACAGUAAGAAGUAAGUGAGAUCUGGAAUCGGUUAGACAUAAGAUGGUCCAUAGGGCUCCCUGAAGCUAGUGUUAGAUUUAAAGUAAAACUGUCAACUGGGAUGCAUUGCAAAGACAAAGAUUUGGUAGUGUGGUUAUGUCAAAUCCAAUGGUUGGAAAGGUUAUUUCUUGAGGCAAUUAUUUUGGAGAAAUUGACAAGGAAAUCAUUGCCUCAUUGAGCCCAUAUGGCAAAGGGAUAAGUGAGAGAGAAGAGUGGAAAGAUGUAUUUUUUUGUUAUAGCCUAAUCCCUUUAGGCUUUAUUGAAAUAAGAAUUAUUAUAAAAUUAGGAAAGACUCUAUUAGUUUAUGGUGAAUAGUUAGUGACAAAGCAAGCUGUUAUUGGAAUUCCUGGUGGUGUAUAAGAUAGGGUUAAAAUAAGAGGAAUAAUCAGUGCUCCCACAAAUAAGAUUCCCAAUAUUGGGACUACCCUACUUUGAGGUAAAAGGAGGGGGAACAUUACUUAUCUUUUCAUUUGAAUAGGAACUUUUAGUCCUCCUGUGGCUCACAAGCAUAGUUGGGUGUUGGUUUCAUUCUUGUUUCCUCAGAAUCUUCCCAGGAUUCUAUUUGGAAAUGAUGGAUCCAACUAGAAAUUCCAGAAACUUUAAUGGCUGUUGAGGUAGAAGGCAAAGCAGUAAAAGGGCCUUUCCAUAAGAUGAAUUAGUAGAUAUCUAGCAGAUAAAUGUGUUCAGGUUUUAAUAAGGACCUGAGUUUUUGGUAGGUACAAGCGUUGGUUGUUAGAAGGGUCUCCAGCCAUCAAUACUCCCUGUGUAUAUAUUUGAUUAGUUCUAGGUAUCAAAUUCUCUAUCUUGGCUUUGGAUACUUAGAACCCCCUUUUGAUAGGAAGUUUAAGGUUUGUAUUGCAUGUUUUGCAAGCUUUGUGGAGAGGGAGCAGAGGAGUGGAUUAUCUAUAUAUUGUGGUAAUUAUCCCCCCUCAAGAUAUGGCUUGGUUAGAUUUCUUGCUAGGGUUUAUCUAAAUAAGUGUGAGCUGUCUUUAAAACCCUGAGGUAAGACUGUCCAGGUUGACAUAAUUGGUUAAAGGUUUAGUAGGCUUUUCUAGGAGAAAUAAGGCCAUUAGAGGAAAAGAUAAAUUUGGAGAUUGGGUAAAUAUUAAAUAGCCAAACAUCUUGAAAAGUACAUUCUUACUCAAAAGGGGUGUGGGGCAUUUAGACAUUGCCAGGGACUGGUGGGAGAGUUGUAAUUGGUCCCAUAUGUAAUAUAAAGGAAUCUUUUGAGGGAGCAGGGGUGCUUUUCUCCCCCAUCAUUCAACAAGAUUUGGAGAAAAGUUGUCUGGAGAAGGAGGUUAGCACAAAAUAGUUAGCUUUUGAAUGCAAAAGAAAAUGUAUAGUCCUACUUUCCACUUCCAAAGUUGCCCUCUUUUAUUGACAAUGUCUGAUCUGGCAGCUAGCUGGAGCAUGGGGCCCCUUCAGCUCAAGGCCAUCAUUGGAUGGGGGCCCAACUGGUCACCUUUUGGCUCAUAGGGCAGUCCCUCUUCCAGUGACUGAGCUUCUGGCAGAGGGAGAGGCAGGCCACAUGGGGCUUUCCCAUUUGGCUCAUUUGGGCAGUGGUCUAGUCUUCGCCACCAAUUGCAGUUACUUGAAUGAAUAUCCUUAGGGCAACCUGGAGGUGGCUGGAGGACUUAUAAAACAACCAAUAGCUGGGCCUACCUCUUGUCCCUGCAUUUCUCCUUUUCCUUAGCCCUGUCUUCCUCAUCCUGAUCUUGGUGACAAAAGACUAAGAAGUCUAAUUUGAGGAUUUCUGGCAUAGGAUCACUGGGUCCUUAGGCUGACUUUUAUAAUUUUCUCCCAAUGCCUGGGGUGGUUUGGGUAAAGAGAUGAUCUUUAGGACUAGUUGUCCCUCUGGGGAUUCCAAGUUUAAGUUGAUAUGCUUAAUAAGGGUUUCCUGUAUUCUUUUGAGAAAGGCUACAGAAUUUUAAUUUGGACCCUAGUUUAUGGUGGCUAACUAUAGCUCAGAUGGCAGGGUCUGCCUUCUAAGCUUUACCAAGUUUAAGGUCUUCCCUCAAGGCCAUGAAGGUUUGUAAAUAGGGGACCUCUGACUAUAUGCCCUGAUGGCAGCAGAAAAGUUCCAGCUGAAGGAUCAUACUAAAAUUUGUACUUCUGUUCUCUGGCCAGAUUUCCUCUGGUUUUGUAAAGGAAAAUUAGUUUUUUGCUUUAAAGUUUGAGGGUCAAAUUUAUCCCAGUUUUUUUAAAGGAUGCCUCUGAGACUGGGGGAAUCUUGGGGUAUGGACAUCUGGUUACCCAGCUAAAAGAAAAGACAGGAGAAUUGUAAGAUGAAGGAGGUGUCCACUGUCCAUUUCUACAAUGAUGUAUGAAGGUGAGGCAUCCCUCACCCGACUUGGGAAGGCAAGACAGCACUUGCCUUGCCCAUAGGGAGCUCCAGAUUUAGUUGAUCCUUUUCAUGGGCUUGAUUCUUUUGGUCUCUUCUUUCUCUCUUUGCCUCAGAAAUAUCUCCCCAGUCACCCUUUGGUUAGCGGCUGGAAGAGUAUUUGGCACAGGGGUAAUUUUGCUGCCUUUUAUAUUCUCAAUGACUCUGGCCCUUUAAGAAGCCCAAUAGUUGUACCCCCACCAAAGCUUGCAGAUAAGGGACUUCCACAAAGGGUUCUUUGAGUGCAUAAUGGCAUUUAGAUAAAAGAUGUAGAUGGUUAGAGGUGUGGGCAAAGGUUUGAAACCUUCCCCUGUUUUGAAGAGAUUCCUUAGGGAUUCUGCAGAAAAGAUGCUUGAAAAGCCAUGGUAAUUCUCUAGAGCCCUGGCUAAGUGAACUGAUCUGCCAGAUUAAUAGUUCAUGGGAACGUGCUUCCAUCUUGGCAUUGUUUGUGUCCAGAGGAGGAGAAGAGGGGAGAAAUUCAAUGAAAGGCAAGUAUAACAGCAGACUUAUUGGAAGAUAAUCAUUUUGGGUUCAGAAAUAAAAAGAUCCCUAGUCAUUGUGCAGUCUGAGCUUAAGUCCGGCCACCUUCAUAAACCUCCUGUCAGGGAGGGCGACAGCGACUUAGAUCUACCCAGUGUGGACUUUGAAGUCUUCCCAUCUCCGUUUGUCACCCAUCAGCAGGAAGUGAGAAAUCAUCUGGAGGGAGUAGAGUCAGUCACUGAAGGGAAUUGUUCUGGAGAUUUGUAGGCGAAUGAGAGAGCAAGUGAAAACACUCACCUUAAAGUAGCAAGAACAGCAUUGGGAGUAGGAGAUUUUCCUCUAAACUGUAGUACAGCAGCACAGAAAGAAGCAGAGGUAGUCGACCAGGUAGUCUGGGACCACUGUGGCAUUUACCACAAACAAAAGUUCAUGGAUGAGGCUAUCUGAGUCACGGCUCCACAACAUGUUACUGGAACGCACAGGAGUCUUCCGUUCUUGUCUUUUCAGAGGAAAGUUUCAGCCAAGAGACCAAUUAAUAACGCAAGAAAAAAGGUUUAUUAAGGACAUAAGAGUACACUCCAAGAGAAGAGUGGGUUGACCCAGAUGGAAACAGCCCUGAAUAUUCUGUAUUGCAGUUUUUAUUAUGUCAGACAUUUCCUGCCACUGUCUCAAGUCUCUGCCUCUAUCUUUGUCUAGUUUUCUGCUUCUGUCUUAGGAAUCCACAUUUGUUUCCACCUGUUUCCCACUCAGGUUUGUAGGAUUCUCCCUUACUGUGAGUUAAUCUGCACCCGUGGGGCCCAGUGAUCAAUACAAAUUCUACCUAAUGGCAGCAUUGCUCAUUACUGCCACUCCAGCAUAUAGUGGUCAAAUCUAUACUUACUGUGCCUACAUAUCUCUUAGGAAUUUCCCCUUUGGCCUUCUUCCCUUCUUAUCAGCUCGCUGCAUUUUCACAGUUUACUACAGAGAUAGUGAUUACUGGGCCUCUUAAUAGGCAUUUUGAGGUGUUUCUUCCUGCAUGGGUAUUUUCCCUCUCCUCUGCUCAUAUUUAGCAUGCAUGCUUCAGGUGGUCUCUGAGGUGUGAGAUUUUCCAGAGAUUCCUCCUCCAGGGGCUCCCUUUACUGCUCAUGUCUAACUAUCUGCCUAGACUAACAAAAAGUUAGUAUCAGAGAUCCCAGGAAGAAAAAAGCAAGUAAAACAUCUCCAAAAUGGAACUGGCUUGGAAUAUGUAAAGAAGACCACUAGAAUUGCUUCUGACCUGAGGGCAAGACACAUUCAGCACAUAUAAAGCAACUAAAACUUCAGCUGAAACCUCACCAUCUCCCUGGCCUUAGAAAAUCAGAAGAUAGAGUUUGAAGCAACCAUAGUAAUUGAAAUCUAAGCAGGCACUUCAUUCAGAAAGUAGAGAGUCAAGAAGAAUGGAAAGAAUUUAAUCACAAAUGUUGUGAAUAAACUAAGCCUAAAUAUCAGACUGACCCCUAAACUGCACGUGCACGACUCAGAGGCCAAGCAUCCCAAUGAAGUAUAAAAUAACUGAGCUGAAAUUUCAGUUUUUAUCCAAGAGACAGACAACAAUUUAAGUCCAAUAAAGCUUGAAAAUACAGAAACAAAAAACAAUGUUCUCUAAAGGAAUAAAAAAGAAUCCAGAGACUUGGAAUAAAAUAUAUAAAAUACCUGGGAUACAAUUAAAAAUUACUUGACAAGUGAAGAACUAGGAAAUAUGAUCUAUUUUCAAGAAAAAAGGAACUAAAUAUAGAGUAACUAUAAUUCGACCGAAAUGUUCAAUUAAGCAGAAAAGAGCAUUAAACAUCUAUUAUAAUAUACUCAUAAAAAUAUGCUAAUAAUAAAUUUAUAUAUGUAUAUAUGCAUAUAUAUAGAUAUGUAUAUAAUACAUAUUAUAUGUAGAUGUAUAUAGAUAUGUAUAGAAUACAUAUUAUAUGUAGAUGUAUAUAGAUAUGUAUAUAAUCUCAGCAGAGAAAUAAGAUCUAUUGAGACAGCAAGCAAAAAUUUAGAACUGUCAACUUCAAUAUUUGAUAUUUAAAAUUUGCUAAACUUAACUACCAAAUGGAGAUAGCAAGGAAGUUUCAGUAAAUUUGAAAAUAAAAAGAAAUUAUCUGUUCUGAAAAGGAGAGGGAAGGAAGAAAAUCAACAGAAUAUUAGAGAAAUUUGGGACAAUAUCAAGAGGUCCAAUAUCUUCUAUAUGGAAAGGAGAAAGAUAUUGAGCUGACAAAAUAUAUAAAUAAGAAAAUAAUCAAAAACUUAUCCAAUUUUUUUUAAAAACGAUGUACAUUUUCACACUCAAAAUCAUUAGUUAACUUCAUGCAGAAUAAAUAAGAAAAACACAUGUGGAAACAUCAUGUUGAAACAGCUGAAAAGUCAAGACAAAUGGAAAAUUCUGAAAGCUGUGAGGAUGAAAUGAGAAAUCACAUAAUGGAAGUGUACUGCACUAAUUCAAAUGAUUGCUAACUUUUCAGUAGAAACUAUGGGGUCCAGAAGAUAACAGACCAGUAUCUUUAAAAUAUUGAAAGAAAAAAUAAUCAACAGCCGGGCAUGGUGGCUCACGCCUGUAAUCCCAGCACUUUAGGAGGCUGAGGCGGGUGGAUCAUCUGAGGUCGGGAGCUCGAGACCAGCCUGACCAACAUGGAGAAACCCUGUCUCUACUGAAAAUACAAAACUAGCCAGGCCUGGUGGCACACGCCUGUAAUCCCAGCUAUUCAGGAGGCUGAGACAGGAGAAUCGCUUGAACUUGGGAGGCGGAGGCUGUGUUGAGCCGAGAUCACACCAUCGCAUUCCAGCCUUGGCAACAAGAGCAAAACUCUGUCUCAAAAAAAAAAAAAGAAAAAAAGAAAAAAAAAAAGGCCGGGUGCAGUGGCUCACGCCUGUAAUCCCAGCACUUUGGGAGGCCAAGGCGGGCGGAUCACGAGAUCAGGAGAUGGAGACCAUCCUGGCUAACACGCUGAAACCUGGUCUGCACAAAAAAAAUGCAAAAAAAAAAAAAUUAGCCAGGCGUGGUGGCGGGCGCCUGUAGUCCCAGCUACUCAGGAUGCUGAGGCAGGAGAAUGGCGUGAACCCGGGAGGCAGAGGUUGCAGUGAGGCGAGAUCAUGCCACUGCACUGCAGUCUGGGCAGCAAAGCAAGACUCUGUCUCAAAAAAAAAAUAAAUAAAUAAAUAAGAAAAAAAAAUAAUCAACACAAAAUUUUAUAUUUGUCAAAACAUCCUUUAAGAAUAAAUGUGAAAUAAGUAUAUUAUUUUAGAUAAAACAAAGCUGAGAGAAUUUGUCACAGCAAUUCUGCACUAAAUGAAAUGCUAAAGCAAAUGUAUUCAGCUUGAAGAAAAAUUAUACCAGUUGGAAAUCAGAUCUUUAGGAAAGAAUUAAGAGCAUUGGGAAAUGGCUGUGAGGAAAGGUAAGGGCAUUGAAGGGUUUUAAGCAGAAUGACACAGUAGGAUUAAUGUUUUAAAAAAUAUCUUAUGUCAGAAGGAUGGACUACAUGGGGAUAAGAACAAUAGUGGGACGCUAGUCAGGAGUCAGUUCAGAAAUUUCAGAAUAAUCUUGGUGCUACAAUUAAUGCUGGUUUUUAUGUCAAUAUCAACUUGGUCUCUGAGUUUGAUAGUCCUUAAAAUAUUUAUUUUUAUCAGUGCUCAGUUACCUGAGUAAAUGGCAAUAUGUCUGUCCAGUGUAGAAAUGUAUAGAUGAUAGUUUUAUAUACUCACUGAGAUAUUAUAUCAUCUGGCCUUCAGUGGACCCACCUAUUAUUCUUUUAUGAAUUUCCAGGUCUAAAACCUGUCUCCCUUCAAAAAAUUGGGUAUAGUAAUAUUUCUUUUUUUCUUUCUUGAGGUAAAUGCCAUCAAACUCCUGAUUGUCCAUCCUUGAUUUUUUUUCUGAUGGUAUAAAUUUAGUAGUAUCCAUGGUUGCUCACAUCUUUGGUUCAUAGGGUUUUCUAUUAAGCAUCUACAUAUUGUCAAUGAGUUGGGUUUCUAAGAACCCGCUUCAGAAAAUUAAUAAGAAAAAUAAAUAUUCAUUCAUUCAAUAAACAUUUAUCUAGAAUCUAUUAUAAGGAAAGAUGAGUCAGAGUAGGCUAGAAUAUUAUAACAAAAUAAUACAAAAUAGCAGCUUAAAUGACAAAAGUACAUUUCUCAAUUAUGCUGGAAGAUAUCUUUACAGUGCUCUUCCUCUGAAGUCAGGCUAUUGGAAUAUCCAUCAUCUCAAACAUUGUAAUUCAUCCUGGUAAGGCAAAAGAGAGAACAAGAGGAACUUCCAUUGGUAAUUAAACAUUGUGUCAUGAGAAAAAUUACAUGAAUGAGCUCAGGGUAAUCUGACAGAUGAUAAGAAUCUAUAUAGAACAAAGGUAAUUCAGUCCAAUUUUCCCAGGCAAAAUACGAGACAUGUGAUGGAACCAAGCAAAUAACAGCAAAGCCAACAUGAGGCUGAGCACCGAGAUAUAAAUCAGAGACAAAAAGGACCAACCAUCUGAGUCCAGCAUAAAAUGUUAAUUUAUAUAAUCAUGAAAUAAACAAAUUGUAUUAAGCCAUUAAUUUGGAGACAGUUGGUUUCAUAGCAAUAACAAAAUGAUACAUGGUUAAACUCACCUAGAAAUGAGCCAGUAUAUGAAUAAUACAUUGUGCCCAGAGGAUGAAGAGCAAGAGAGCUUUGGCAAAUAACUCUAGUAACUACCACAGAAAGGCAGUGCUUAGCAUUUUGUGGCUAUAGUUUAAACAGAGUUUUUAUGCUUCAGAUGCUAAGUACUGUUAGGUGAGACAGGAUAAUGAAAAUGAAAUAUGACACUGCACAGAAUAUAUUAGUGAUACAUGAAAUUAUCCAAAUUGAACAGGAAGGUGGAUGUACUUCUUAGAAAAACUUCCUUUAGCCAUUCUUUCAGGUUGCUAGUAAAAAAAUUCUCUUAGUUUUCUUUUAUAUAAGAAUGUCUUGAUUUCCCCUUGGAUUUCUGAUGGAUAUUUUUGCCAGAUAUAGAAUAUGCAGUUGACAGUAUUUUUCUUUCAGCUCUUGAAUAAUAUUUUGCCACUUUCUUCUUGACUCCAUGGUUUCACAUGAGGAAUUUACUGUCAUUUUAAUUGUAUGUUUCUAUAGAUAAAUAUUACUUUUCUUUGGCUGCUUUCUAGACUUUUUGUUUGUCUUUGGUUUUUAAAAGUUUAUAAGAUUAUUUGGAAUGGAUUUUUUGGGACUUACUCUCUUUGUAGUUCACAUAGGUUUUUAAAUCUGUGGAGCCUCAGCUGUCCCCUUGGUCUUGCUGAAACCAGGAGUGGGGAAAAUAAGAGUGCUUACUAGACCCAGGUUGCUAUGCCUUCUUCAAUCUCGUUGCCGCUGCAUGGGUCAGGUGGAGGCAUAGCUCACAAUGGCACACAGCUGAUACUACCUUGGUCAGAGAAUCAAAGCACUCCGGCUUCCAUCAGGUAGGGAAUGGAAAGUUAACUUCACUUCCUGCUCUGUAGUCCCACGAACCAUGAAACAUGCACUAUCCUGGAAGGAAAUCAGACUGCCAUCUGAAUAUACCAGGCAGGAGAUGAUAGAAGGUAAGAUCCUCACUUAGCUUGUUGAUAUUACCUGGCAAGAGAAUUGGAGCACAAUGCCUGUGUCCACAAGAUGGAAAGAGGGAGAGGAUUUGGUAAAGAUCUACUUCUCUUAUGGCCUAAUAAAAUUGUGUGAGUAAAUAUAGCUGUUUAUUUGGGGUUUGGUUGGAGUAGAAAAUAUAGUGCCAAAGACAUUUUGUUGUUUUUAUGUUUUAGGUUGUUUUUUCCUGAUCUUUUCGCUAGAGGGAUUAGGAUUUUCCUGAAGCUAUUUGUGUGUGUGUGUGCAUGUUUGUUGCUUGCUCCAGGUUGUAGGUUUCUACAGCCUUGUAAGCAUGAGUAGGAAGAGCAAACUCUGAAAAGAACCAAUUCUUUGAUGUGGGUAGAUUUUUCUAAAAUUGUCCUGUAUGGAAAGGCAUUCUAAACACUAAUGAAGGCUGCAAGGAUUGAAAACACAGAAUCAGAGAAUGGUAAUAGUCUGUAAAAUGCUAUAGCAAGUACUGCAAAAGCCCAGACAUAUCCCUUCAUGCACUUCUACAUAGUGAAGGAUAUUUACUGUGACACUAGAGUAAUGGAACUACUGGAGAUUUAAUGCUGGAAGCAAUCAUCAGCUAAUGAUGUAGUGAGAACCCUAGCUUCCUCAACCAUAGAUGAGAUAACUUCGAUAAAAAUUGUAUGUUUUCUCCAAUGGUUUUAGAGAGAGAUCUCCAAAGGUUCUGAAUUUCAGCUACCCACAGUGAUAACCAUUUUGAAAGUUCAAAAUUUACUAGCUUCCUUUUCUUUAAUGUGUUACUACCUCAUUCUUCUAUAUAUGUAAUAUGGUUUGGAUACGCAUCCCCUCCAAAUCUCAUGUUGAAUUGUGAUUCCCAGUGUUGGAGGUGGAGCCUGGUAGGAGGUGAUUGGAUCCUGGUGUUGUACCCUUCAUGAAUGGUGUAACAUCACCCCUUGGUGAUGAGUGAGUUCUUAGUUCACUUGAGGUUUAAUUGUAUAAAAGAUUGUGGGAUUUCCUCCUUCUCUCUUGCUCCUGCUCUCUCCGUGUGACACACCAGUUUCUCCUUCACCUUCUUCCAUGACUGUAAGCUUCCUGAGUCCCUCACUAGAAGCAGAUGCCAGUACCACACUUCCUGUAUAGCCUGCAAGACCAUGAGAUGGCUAAACAUAUUUUCUUUAUAUAUUACCCAGUCUUAGGUAUUUCUUUAGGGCAAGGCAAAAACAGUGAACACAACAUGUGUUGCGUGAACACCAAAAUAAUUUAAUUAUGUUUGAUUCUUUAUUUCAAGAUCCACUUUUGAGGGAAAUCAAAACAAGAUAAAUAUGAAUCUCUAGCUCACUGGAGCUAAAGAGGUGUUGUGAGGAAUACCCUGAUUUACAAGAGGCUGUAAUUUCACACUACCUUUUUUUCAUCUUUAUCUAUGAUAAUGGGGCACUAUUAUAUCUUGAAGAUGUGAUUUCAGAUUACCUCAGUAGAUACAGAUAAACAUUUGACAGAAUCCAAAUCCUUUCAUGACUAAAAACCACUUGACAAGCUAGGUCUAAAAAGAAUGCAUCUAAACAUAAUAAACACAGGUCAGUAACAAGACACUGCCCAUUGUUACCACCUCUGUUCCACGUCAUACUGAAAAUUCUAGCCAGAGCAACUAAGCAAGCAAAAUAAAUAAAAGGAAUUCAAAUUCUAAAGGGAGAAGUAAAGUUAUCUCUUAUCUCUCAUAUAGAUCACAUUAUUCCAUAUGUAAAAACCCUAAAGGCUCCUCACAAAAACCGUUAAAACUAAUUAAACAAAUUCAGUAAAGUUGCACAGUACAAAAUCAACAUAUAAAAAUUAGUUUCAUUCCCAUACAUUAAUAAUAUACCCUUCAAACAGCUAUUUAAUUUAAUUUAUAAUUUCAUCAAAAAUAAAAAUAAAGAAAGGGAAACAAAGAAAGGGAAAACUUGUACAUCGAAAAUUAUAAAACAUUAAUGAAAGAAAUUAAAUAAACAGAAAAAAUGAAAAACAUCUUGGGGUUCAUGGAUUUGGAGAUUUAAUAUAUAUUAAAAUUUCCAUAUUACCCUAAGCGAUCUAUAUAUUCAAUGCAAUUCUCAUCAAAAUGCCAAUUGCAUUUUAUACAUAAAUAGAAAAAAACCCAAAAAUUUGUAUGAAACUAAAAUUACCCUAAUACUUAAUGCAAUCAGUAGCACAAAGAACAAAACUAAAGUCAUCACACUUCCUCAUUUUAAAAUAUAUUACAAAGCUAUGGGAAUAAAAACAGUAUGAUACCAGCAUAAAAACAGAUAUACAGACCAAUGGAACAGAAUAAAUAGCCAAUAAACACAUACACAUACAGUCAACUGAUCUUUGACAAGGUUGCCAGAUAUACACAAUGAGAAAAGAAUAGCUUCUUCAACAAAUGGUGUUGGGAAAACUGGAUAUUGACAUGCAGAAAAAGAGAGAAAGAAAUUGAAUGCCUACCUUACACCUAACACAAAAAUUAACUGAAAAUGGACUAGAAAUUUAAACAUAUGCCCUGAAAAUCUAAAGCUUCUAAAGAAAACAAAGCAAGACCAAAGAUAGGGGAAAUCUUUCUGCCAUUGAUUAGAUUAUGGGAGUGAUUUCUUGAAUAAGAUGCCAAAGGCACAGGCCUCAAUAGCAAAAAUCGCUAAGUGGUACUAUAUCAAGUUAAAAAGCUUUUGUACCACAAAGAAAGUAGUCAACAAAAUUAAAAGGCAACUUAUGAAAUCAGAUAAAAUAUUUAUAAACCAUAUAUCUGAUAAGCAGUUCUAUCUAAAAUGUAUGGAAACUCCUACAACUCAGUAUCAAAAUUAAUGAUAAUAAUAAUAAUUAUAAUAACCCUAUUUAAAAAUGGACAAAGGACUUGGACAGGUAUUUUUCCAAAAAAGACAUACAAAUGGGCACUAGGUAUUUGAAAAUAUGCUCAACAUUUCUAAUUAUCAGGAAAUGCAAAUCAAAACUCUGAUGAGAUAUGACUUUACACCAGUUAGGAUGAAAAUGAAAAAUAGCAGUGUUGGCCAUAAUGUGGAGAAAUUGGAACUCUUGUAUCCUGUUGGUGGGAUGUAAAAUGGUAUUGCAUCUAUGAAAAACAUUAUGAAAUAUCCUUAAAAAUUAAAAAUAGAACUACCAUAUGAUUCAGCAUUUUCAUUUUGAUUACAUAUCCUAAAAGAAUUGAAAUCAUCCCCUCCUGAAGAUAUUGGCACUCCACGUUUAUUGUAUCAUUAGUCACAAUAGCCAAGAUAUAAAUCAACCUAAGUGUCCAUCAAAGAAUGAAUGGAUAAAGAAAAUAUUACACACACACAAACACACACACACACAGGCACACAUGCACUUGUAUAUUAUUCAGCUUACAAAAGAAGGAAAUCCUGGCAUUUGAGACAAUAUUGAUGAAGUUGGAGGACAAUAUACUAAGUGAAAAAAAAGUCCAGUCAUAGGCCAAUACUCCACGGUUUUAUUUAUAUGAGGUAGCUAUGAUAGUCAAAUUCAUAGAAGCAGAAAAUAUAAUAGUUGCUGUCAGCAGAUACAGAGGUAGGAGGUGGAAUAAUUGGAGAUUUGUAAAAUAAGUACGAAGUGUCAGUUAUGCCAGAUGAAUACAUUCAUGAAAACACUGCAUCUGUAUUUAACGAUAUGGUAUUACACAUUCAAAAUUAGUUUUGAGAGUAGAUCUCAUGUAAGUGUUCUUACCACAAAACAAACAAAGAAAAACAAAGUCCUGAGGAAAUUUUGAGAGUGGCAAAUAUGUCUAUUACCUGAUUGUGGCAAUAGAUUCAUGGGUAUUUGUAUAUGUUCAGACAUCAAAUCGUACACAUAUAUAACUGCAAUGCUUUGUGCAUUAAUUUACCUCAAUAAGCUGUUAAAAAAAACGAAAUUUUACAUCUCAUACAGAAGAUGUUGAGAGGAGGAGAAUGAGGAAGAGGAUGAGGAAUGGAAGGAAAGAAGGAAGGAAGAAGGAAGGAAGGAAGGGAGGAAGGAAGGAAGGAAAGAAGGGAGGGAGGGAAAAUCAGGGAACGCUGAAGUAGCCAAUUAAGAGAUUAAAAGUAAAACAAAACACAGCUUAAAUUUGGCAGUAGCUGUGAAUAUAUAAAGCAGGAGAUCAUCUGAGACAUAAUGUUGAAGUCAGCAGAAACAUUUUCUCUUUUGUACAAUGACUUUUGGAUUAGAAACGUCAUGUAGCAAUAUUUUCCACUACCAACUUUAUUUUGCAUUUUGGAGGAUUUGCUAAUACGUGCUAUAACUCCAUGAGGCCAGAAAAACUCCACUUGCAGAACUGUUCACACUAACAUUAAAUGCAAGAUUUUCCAUUUCUUCUCUUACCCCACACGAAGACAAUUAUGACAACAUAAAAAUCUAAAAUGUGAAUAAUUAUCUGCUUUGAAGCAUUUCUUUACCCUUGAAACAUCUGAAGGAAACUUGAGGAGCUAAAAAGCCAGAGCUGGGAAUCCGUGGCUUAAAGAAUAAUGGUCUCUGGCUUGGCACGAUGGCUCACGCUUCUAAUCCCAGCACUUUGGGAAGCUGAGGCAGUCUUGAACCCAGGAGUUCGAGAUGAGCCUGGGCAACAUGGCUAAACACUAUCUCUAGAAAAGUACAAAAAUUAGCUGAAUGUGGUGGUGAGCUCUUGUAGUCCCAGCUACUAGGGAGGCUGAGGUGGGAGGAUUGCUUGAGCUUGGGAGGUAGAGGCUGUAUUGAGCUGUGAGCAUGCCACUGCACUCCAGCCUGGGCAAGAGAGUGAGAACUUAUCUCAAAACUAAUAAUAAUACUCAUAAUAAUACAUAAGAAUGUUCUCUUAUAAUCAGUUAUUUCUGUUGUAGGACUUAGAUGACAUUGUCUGAUAUAAAGGUCACUUAGCACAUUGUAUAUUUCUAUGCAGAUUUAACUUGAGCAACUCAGAUUGACACUCUGUACAUUAAAACAUCCCUAGGGUCUCUUUCCUCUCAAAUACACAAGCAAUAAAUGGUUAAAAUGACCUAAAAUGUACAUAAUAGUCCAGUGAUAUAAAAGCUACAUUAAUAUAUAUUUAUUGUUUGAACCAGAAUAUAAAUCUUAUAUGGCUGAAGUUAGUCCUUACAUUUACUUUUUUAUAGUGUGAUGGAUGAAACUGAAAGAAUGGAUUGAAAUAGGCUUUUCCACGCCAGGAUCCUAUGCUAAUGAGCACAUUACCUCAUCAUUAUGAGUCUCAGCUUCUUCAUUUUUAAAAUGAGAAUGAUAAACUUUCCCCACCUGUCUCAGAGAGUGUUACAAAGAGGAAAUGAGUAGUUUUUUCAGCAUAUUUUCUAGAAUAUAAAGAUUUUCUACAGAGCUCAUUCUUAUUAUCAUCAAUAUUAAAAGUACUAUUAAGAUGACUUCCCCAAAGGUCAGUUAGAAUAUUUAAGCCAUCCUUCAGACCCAUUAUUUUCUAUCUGAAGCAGACCUAAUGUUACUCACACACUUCAGAAAACAAGUUGUGAAAAUGUUAGGUUGACUGCUCUAACAUACAAAUCUGGAAAAUGGAAAUGGUAUAUUUAUCAGCUAUGAUACUGUAACAUGGAAUUCACUGAAGCUACACGUACAUUUCCAGGAUAUGUAUAGCAUUGUCAUAGGUGUAUUAACCCAUAUAAGGGCCAAUGAGAAAACUUUAUGGUGGAUUUUCAGGAAGUCUAGGGAAACACUUCUUGUGUCUCAAGUUUUUGAAGAUUUAUUAGAAGGAACAAAUAUUUUGGAAUCAGGCUAUCACAGGUUUAAAGCCAUCCUCUGAGAGUUACAAUCUCUGUGACCUUCAGUAAUUUUCAAAUUCCCUAUAUUUUAUUAUUAUAAUUUGUAAAAGUGAGAUGAUACAGACAUGGCUGACUGGUUCGGAUGUGUGAGAGAUAAAAUGCUAAUGUUUUGGCAGCGUUUAUGGCAUAUAGUAACCAACGUGCUGUUGAACUAAGUGCCAUAGCUACUUCCUAAUGAUAAUUAUUCAAACCUUUAUAAAUCUCUCAAUAGUCAUGUGGAACAUUUCAUUUUUAUAAGCUGAAUUACAUAUAAAUGUGCAAAUAAAUCAAACUUACCUAAUGAAUUUAUACAGCAAGCAAAUACUACCUUUUAAGUUUUACUAUAUAAAUUCUAAGUUAAAAUUUUACAUCUGUGUAAUAUGCCCAUUUUUCAAAUAAGAAAAUUGAAAGUCAAAGGUUAAGAUGUCUUCCCAGUGACCCCUCUGAGUAUACAAAUAUUCUCUAUGUGGGAACACACACACACACAUAUACACAUGUAAUAUAUAUCAUUGGUGUAUUGGUUUUUUAGAGGGCUAGAUCUAAAAGGAUAGAUGCCUAUAUAGAGAGGAGUUUAUUAAGGAAUACUGACUCACAUGAGCACAAGGUAAGGUCCCACAACAGACCAUCUGUAAGCUGAGGAGCAAGGAAGCCAAUCCCAGCCCCAAAGCUGAAGACCUUGUUCAAAGUCCGAUGUUCAAAGGCAGGAAGCAUCCCGCACGAGAGAAAGAUGUAGGCUGGGAGGCUAAGCCAGUCUAUUCUUUUCACUUUCUUCUGCCUGUGUUUAUUCUGUCUGUGCUGGCAGCCAAUUAGAUUGUGCCCAUUCAGGUUGAGGGUGGGUCUGCCUUUCUUAGACCACUGAAUCUAAUGUUAAUCUCCUUUGGCAACACCCUCACUAACACACCCAGAAAAAGUACUUUGCAUACUUCAAUCCAAUGAAGUUGACACUCAAUAUUCACCAUCACAAUUCGUUAAUGGUAUUUUGGAGAUAUCUCCAAGAAUUCUAAUUAGCUGUUCCUAAUCAGGUAUCUCCUUUUCCUUAUAGUAACCUG
rnacentral:lncRNA from 10 species